AACGAACGCUGGCGGCAGGCUUAACACAUGCAAGUCGAGCGCCCCGCAAGGGGAGCGGCAGACGGGUGAGUAACGCGUGGGAAUCUACCCAUCUCUACGGAAUAACGCAUGGAAACGUGUGCUAAUACCGCAUACGUCCUCCGGGAGAAAGAUUUAUCGGAGAUGGAGGAGCCCGCGUUGGAUUAGCUAGUUGGUGGGGUACAUGCCUACCAAGGCGACGAUCCAGAGCUGGUCUGAGAGGAUGGUCAGCCACACUGGGACUGAGACACGGCCCAGACUCCUACGAGAAGCAGCAGUGGGGAAUAUUGGCCAUUGGGCGCAAGCCUGAUCCAGCCAUGCCGCGUGAGUGAUGAAGGCCCUAGGGUUGUAAAGCUCUUUCACCAGUGAAGAUAAUCACGGUAACCGGAGAAGAAGCCCCGGCUAACUUCGUGCCAGCCGCCGCAGUAACAC
rnacentral:rRNA from 1 species